rnacentral:rRNA from 1 species
UACGUAGGGUGCAAGCGUUAAUCGGAAUUACUGGGCGUAAAGCGUGCGCAGGCGGCGAUGUAAGACAGAUGUGAAAUCCCCGGGCUCAACCUGGGAACUGCAUUUGAGACUGCAUCGCUGGAGUGCGGCAGAGGGGGAUGGAAUUCCGCGUGUAGCAGUGAAAUGCGUAGAUAUGCGGAGGAACACCGAUGGCGAAGGCAAUCCCCUGGGCCUGCACUGACGCUCAUGCACGAAAGCGUGGGGAGCAAACAGG